GACGAACCGUGCAACCGUUAUUCGGAAUCACUGGGCCUAAAGGGCGCGUAGGCGGCUUUCUAAGUCAGGGGUGAAAUCCGGCAGCUCAACUGUCGCAGUGCCUUUGAUACUGGAGAGCUCGAGGGAGGUAGGGGUCUGUGGAACUUCCGGUGGAGCGGUGAAAUGCGUUGAUAUCGGAAGGAACACCAGUGGCGAAGGCGACUUCCUGGCCUGUUCUUGACGCUGAGGCGCGAAAGCUAGGGGAGCAAACGGG
rnacentral:rRNA from 1 species